rnacentral:rRNA from 1 species
GACGAACGCUGGCGGCGUGCUUAACACAUGCAAGUCGAACGGAAAGGCCCUGCUUUUGUGGGGUGCUCGAGUGGCGAACGGGUGAGUAACACGUGAGUAACCUGCCCUUGACUUUGGGAUAACUUCAGGAAACUGGGGCUAAUACCGGAUAGGAGCUCCUGCUGCAUGGUGGGGGUUGGAAAGUUUCGGCGGUUGGGGAUGGACUCGCGGCUUAUCAGCUUGUUGGUGGGGUAGUGGCUUACCAAGGCUUUGACGGGUAGCCGGCCUGAGAGGGUGACCGGCCACAUUGGAACUGGGAUAGGCCCCGAACCCCUAGGGGAGGCAGGGGUGGGGAAUAUGGCAAAAGGGGCGGAAGCCUGAGGCAGCAACGCCGGGGGGGGGAGGAGGGCCUUCGGGUUGUAAACCGCUUUCGCCUGGGACGAAGCGUGGGUGACGGUAAUGGGUAAAGAAGCACCGGCAAACUCCGU